rnacentral:rRNA from 1 species
AUUGAACGCUGGCGGCAUGCUUUACACAUGCAAGUCGAACGGUAACAGGCCUUCGGGUGCUGACGAGUGGCGAACGGGUGAGUAAUGCAUCGGAACGUGCCCAGAGGUGGGGGAUAACGCAGCGAAAGCUGUGCUAAUACCGCAUGUGAUCUGAGGAUGAAAGCGGGGGACCAGGCAGCAAUGUUUGGCCUCGCGCCUUUGGAGCGGCCGAUGUCAGAUUAGGUAGUUGGUGGGGUAAAGGCCUACCAAGCCGACGAUCUGUAGCUGGUCUGAGAGGACGACAGGACACGCGCGACUAGACAGAUGCACCAGACACCCGCGGGAGGCGGCAGUGUGCAAUAUAGGAGCGGGGGAGCGGGGCAGGUACAGCGGGGCCGAGGGAGGGAAGAGGUCAUUCGUGUGGUAAGCCGAUUAGCGACGCAACACAAAGGGGCGGUCUAAUACGGGGGGGUAAUGACGGAAGAGAAAGAAGAAGCACCGGGCAACGCCGUGCCAGCAGCCGGGGUAAUAGGGGGAAGAGCAGCCGGGUGCAC